rnacentral:sRNA from 1 species
GCUGGGUACAGAGAUGCAUGCCUGUAAUCCCAGCAACUCAGGAGGCUGAGUCAGGAGGAUUGCAAGUUCAAAGCUAGCCUCAGCAAGAACAAGGCACUAAGCAACUCAGUGAGACCCUGUCUCUA